CCUCCAGGAAAGCGGCGGAAGCUGUGGGGCUGCACUAGAAGGAUGCGGAGGAGAAGCCUGGAAGGAGGAUUUUUACCUCAACCUGCUCUCAGCGCCCGCGGGGACUUGUAGUCCGCUCAAGCGCAAAGCCCUUUGGGAAUGCCAAAGUACCCGUUCAUGAAUGAACGAGAAAUCAAGACAAUUCCAGUGAAACAAAAGUUGAGGGAGUUCAUUAUCAGCUGACUUGCCUGCCUUGGAAUGUGCUGUAGAAGGAACUUUCCUGGCUGACGUGAACACCACCAGACAGUAAUCAGGAACCAUAGAAGAAAUAACACUGGACAAGAAAUAGAAAAAUGUUCUCUAAACUUUUAUGGAAUGUCUGAGGACCCCAAAGACAAAAAUGAUCUUUAACGGGAACAAAGGGGCUUGGAUCUACAGUUUGCCUUGCAUCUCUGAAGAGGCUUGGGACUUGGACUUCUCAGCAAUACUGAAACUGUUAGGACUGUGGCAAGUAUGGAUUACAUUCUUUUUGCAUAAAGGGAUGUGCAUGAGUCUUUAAGGGGCUAGGGGAAGAAUGUUAUAGUUCUAACAAUAUAAUGAUGAUACAUUUACUGCUGGACUUACGGAUUUGUAAACCUGUGUUAUAAUGAUCAAGUUUGAAACGGUAAGAAUAGGUUUGUCUUUGUAUCUGGAAACCUGUUUAAAGAAAUGUGUCUGGUUGCCAAGUUGACAAGGGAUGGAUUGUUACGGUGGAAUCAUUGUGUCAAUUUGAGAGGUUUAGAAGUUUAACUAAGAGACUCCGGAGUGAGCCAGGAUCCUUACUUUGUAAAUAUCCUCAGCCUGAGCAGGAGGAGGGCAAGGAGAUUUUAUGAGUGCUUCGCCUGCCCUGGAGAGGGGUGGCCUGUGUACAAUCCAAGGGAGGAAAAGAGGCUUUCCACCAUUUUUGCUCUUGUUGCUUUGUUGCCUUCUGCCCUCUGGAAUUGUUUCCCCUGGGCCAUGUCACUGUCCCUUAGAGCCAGCUGACUAUAGACUGAAAUGUCCACAAACUGGACAUUUAAACGUUUUCUGCCUUCAUUUUGGGUAUUGGGUAUUUUGUCCCAGCAAUGAAACAAAAAUAACCAAGACAAAAUCUAUAUCUAAACUUAAUCCAAAACCACGUCAGUGCUAGUGUUUUGGGCUUGAUCCCACUAGCCUGUUAGCACAAUAAACAAUUGUCUUUUACCGCCUAGGUGCAAAGAGUCUUCCAUUGGGGUUCAUAUUGAUUUUUCUGUAACAUUCUGGUGCUCUGGCCAGGAAGACACUAUGCUGAACACUGAGGGUCACUGGUGUAGGCCUGUGGCUUACUGCCUAGGCUCAACCUCAUCUGCAGACAAGAAGCCAUGCUCUCUGGAUCCAUUUUAGGAUUCUCCUCCAAAGUUGAAGGAGGAAAUUCUGUGCAACAGUGGAGAUAUCAUCGGACCCUGGGAGGAGUCACAAUACAACAGGCCCAAGUCCUUGGACAAGGUAGGCAUUCCCCAGGUUUUCCCCACAGUUAACCUAGGGAACCUGCUUGUUACCACCUCCACUGUGGGAGGACGAGCUGAUGACUCCCCAAACAGCCUCAUCUGCACCUGUUCCAAUUCCACUUGCUGUUGAGCUGCAGCUGCUAUAGACUUGUCCCUGGCAUUGAGGCUGGAAAUGUACUCCCCUAGGCAAUCUGUUUACUUCGUUGUUACCUACGUGUUUACCUGCUUGUUACUAUCCCCACCGUGGAUGAAGGAGGACCCAGUCAGUCCUCAACAUCUCCACCUGGUACCAGUUCUGGAUCCAGUUCUUGUUUUGGUCAGAGUACUGGACUGCAGCUGCUGUUCCCACCGGAUUUGCCCAUGGGCUUGGGGGUGGGCAUGAGUUAACUUCUGUGUGCCUGUGUGCAAUUGUGUGUAUAUACACACAAAAAAUGGAACAUACAGGCCAGGGUCUCCUAAACUCAGCUACGUACUGAAUAAAAAUGGUUUAAUCAGUUUAAAAACAAAAGUAAUUAAAGAAAAAAUUUACACUGUAAUGAUUAAAGACAUGCAAAGGCUGUGUAUCUUUAAUACACCAGAAUAUAAGGCAGCUGAUGCAGGUAGAUAGCAAGGGAACAAAAGAGCCCAAGCGAGCCCUUGCUUGACAUCACCACUCUGGCCCUUUCUGCAGACAUUUGAAAGCUAGGGUAACUGCAACCUGGGCCUGUCAACCUAAGGAACUUUUAUAGGACAAAUCAAAUGACAAGUUGUAACUAAUUGGUCAUUAUACUUUUGGUUUUCAAUUUGAGUCAGUGUGCAUAAGCAUUUCUUAUACAUUAGAAAUGUUUGAAUUUACAAGGUUAGCUUGAUCUUUUCUCUAGUCUAUUGUUUUAAAAUAAAAAAAACCAAUUCAAGGUUACUCAGAAGUCUGUUGGUGUAGGGAGCCAUGCGACAACCCCAUUGCUGCCUCCCUGUCUCUCUCUCUCUCCUAUGGGCACAACGUAUCUGCCUACAUUAACCAUACUCCUCUCCUGCUUAUGUCACAUACCUGGACGUGAUGAUGACCCUGUUGUAUUCAUCCCCGUAGCUUCUUUCUGUCCCAUCAGCCCGCCCUUGGCCUAUAAAAGAUGUGAUCACCUCUGGAAUAAAUGGGGCUUGACUGGACUCUCUCAACUUGCCUCAGUCUCUCUCUGUCUCCCCCAUGUCUCUAUUUAAUCUCCGUUCACCCUCCAGGAACACCCCAUGGAUUGAUCCGUGGGCCAGAUCAUGUUGGCAGUGAGUCAAGUUUAAUAUCUGAGGCUAAAAAUGGGACACCUUAAAAUUCAAGCAACUACAUUCAAGUAUGUCAUAGAAGAGUAUAGUAAGAAGGGGAAAAAUACUAAGAAUGCUAUAAAUAUAAGAGAUAGACUUUUGGUAUGAGAGGAUUCAUGAUAAAUGUCCUGUUCUGCUAAAGAGAUAACAAGAAAGAUAAUAGCAUGGUGAAAAACCUUAUGUAUGUUGACAAAAGCUUAAGGAAGUACUUUAUGAAAAGAAAAUAUAUGUAUGGUCACUUACUAAUUUGGUGGAGCGCAGGUUGUGCCUUCUAAAAAUCCACCCAAUGAAAUGGUUAAAUCAAGAUGAGAUUGCCAGUCAAUUAAUAAACUUUAAAAAUAGGAUGGGAUGUCUAUACUGUGUGUUACCCUGCUGAACACUAAUAUGGACAUUUAGCUGUGUUAAUAAACUAAUGUCAUCCCAAUUGGAAUACUGAGAUGUAAUGUGUGACUCUGGACCUCAGGUUCCUAGGUAAAACUGUGUAACUGCUAUCUGGUAACAUCCUGCAGGGACUCACCCACUCACACCGCCGUAGUUGAUAGAAAAUAAUGGUCCCUGGAGAGCUCUAAAUAGCAGAGCAGUAAGCAGCAGAGAAAGAGCCUCUUGGAGAGUCAUCAUCCACACUGGAAUACAGAAUGUGAAGAAGACAAUAAGGAGGGAAGUGGUUACCCUGCACCCAAGAAGAAUCCAAAGCAUAAAUUGUAGCCCAUGGAGAGAGUGAAGAGAGAAAAUUCAGUAAAGAAGGAGGUAUCCAAAAUGAAAAUAAAAAGUAAAGACAAAAACAAACAAGAGAUAUAGAAAAGAAAAAAACCAAAAUGUCCACUUCUAGGUUUGUCCAGGUUUGCCUUCUCCCUGAGUCGGACUCAAUGUGCAGGAGGAGUGGUUCAAACCUGAGGAUGCAGGGCUGCCUGGUAACCCCAGAGGCCUCAGUUGAGAGAUGUGGCAGUGGAGGGGAGCUGCAGACAAGGAAGGGAACAGGGCACAUGAAGGACUGCACUCCAUCCAGCAGGGAUCACAACCACUGAAGGUACUCAGAAGACAGUGAGCCAAAUGUGACUGAUCUUGGCCAGAAAGUACAGGCUUGCUGAGAUGAUCCACUACCUCACAGAAAAGCUACUGCUGGCUUGCUGAGAUAGACUACUGGGGACUCUGCCUCCACAGGUUGUCUUCCAGGGAAAGCAGAGACAAAUGUAGAAGUGGACCUUUUUGGUUUUUUCCCCCUUAUCUCUUUCUUUUGUUUAUGUUUUUAAUUUUUGUUUUCAUUUUGAUUUUUUUCUCCUUCAUUGUUUCAUUGUUAUAUGAGAACAUGGUUUUUACCCUCUUUGUGAUAGUAGUUUUAUAUUCUUCUAUCUCCUUUCUCUCUUUUCCUUCAGUCUUCGGCACCAGUUCCCCAAAAUUAAUGUAACCUCCCUUUAUCCUCUAACCUUACUUCUAAUCUUUUCUUCUCCUUCUUCCCCUUCUCUAUUUUCCCCUCUACAUAUUUUAAAUUUUAACUCCUGAGGGCAAGAUGACAUAUUAAGGACCUGUAUACUACAUGUAAUUUUCUGAUCUGUUUUGGAUUUUAAUGUAUAACCCAAAAUCUAGUUCAUAUGUUUAAAAGUUGCAAGUGAAUGGUUAGCUCAGUUUGUCAUUUUCUAGUUUGUGUUUGAUUGUACUGGUGCCAUUAUAGCCAAAAAUGAGAUAAUUGUUUUAAACAGCUGUUCAUCCUGGUAUUCUCUAACUGACAUAUACUAAGGGUCACUGAAAAUACAGUCGAACAGUACCAGUGAAAUGGGGACUGGGCCAAACAAGCAGCAACUUGUCAUCUUCAAUAAACUGAGCAGGUAAGAUCCUCUAACAGACUCAAAAUCCAACAACCUGUAGCCCAGGAAGAUACCCUGGAGAUAGUCAUUAUCUAAGGGUCCUAAAUUCUAGCAAUAAAGCAACUCACAAUAGGCAAUUACAAACAUCACCCUAGAAUAAACUGAGAGAAAGAAAGAAAGAAAGAAAAGACAGACAGCAAGAAAGACAGAAAGAAAGAAGUAGAACACACAUAAACAAGAUGCAACCGGAGACCUCCACAUCAUCAAAGACACACCUGGGGGCAUUGACAUUGGACUAUUUGAAAGCCUGAAAUUUGGCCUCUUGAAGAGGUAAAAACAAAACAAUUGAAUGAGGCUCUUAAAAGAAUCAAAUCAGAAAUAAUCUCUCAGAUAACUGCAAAGAUGGGGUCCAAAAUAAAGACCUAUUUAGUUAUGAUAGAGCAGAUAUAGACAAAAAUAUAGACAAGAUUAAGAAAAUUUUCAAAGUCAUGAAUGCUCAGCAUAGGAAGGAAAUGGAAUCCAAAAGGCAUACUGAAGCAGAUAUCCAGUAGAAUAAAAAUUCUGUUGAAAGUAUUUGAAGCAGAUUAGGCCAAUGAAAGGUCAGGACCUCAGAUAUAGAAGACACGCUUGCACUUAGUGAUCAGGAAAAGAAAAAUUUCUCAAAAAUAGCAAGGGACCAUGAGAAAUCAAUCCAAAAUUUGAUAAUGUAGAAUAAUUAAAGAUUGGCUGGAGUCCAUGAAAAAGCAGGACAUAACACAAAUGACAUGUAAAAUGGUCCCAUAUGUCAUGGCAGGAAACUUCUCUAUUAGAGAAAAAGAAUUUGACAUACAAAUCAGUGGGGCAUGUAGAACUCCAAUUAGCCACAACUAAAAACAAUCUACAGCCAAACAUAUGAUAUUCAAGAAAGUCCAGAAAUUCAACGCAAGAAUAGAAUCUUAAAAGCUAAUAGAGAGUGACUUCCAGGAGAACAUGUUGGACAGAUAGCAGCAGCUAUGGAGGCUCUCGGAAAGACCCAGCUUAGAAUCCAGGAAUUGUGCGGAGUGAGGAAUCCUAAGCAAGAGGAGAUAUGGCCUGCUGACCCAAGAACAAACUGGGUUGAGAGAAACCAAUUGGGAAUGCAAUCCUGGUGCUAUAACAUGAACAGAUAAAGCCUCAGUGUGGAAGGUGGAGCCAGUGCCAUUGGAAUCUGCAAUUUGGGUUUCCUGCCACCGUAGCUGCAUCUCAAUCAGCUCGGCAGGAAGAGAGACGCGUGAAUGCUCUGAAAACGGGAAUAGGUGAAUGGAAUUGAGAGCAGGACAGGCGGAGAGCUGUGCAUCAACCCGUGGUGAGUAAGAGAAACUGGGACUCUUCCAUGGUCCAGGAGGCUCCAACAGAGGACAUUCUGGGACUGGGCAGACUUGCCGGAACAGGGCGCUGUAGUGACUUCAGUCACCUAUUCCCCUCUCAAGCAGGAUUGGUGAGCAGUGUCUACCUUACUUGAUGCUGCUGGCUGAGACCCAGUAGGCUAGCACAACCCAGGUCCCAGUGCCUGAAGGUGACCUGGAGGGGCGGGCCCUGCAUAGGCUGCCUGGUCCAUAACUCCCUGGUACGCUGUGGUGGGUGGGAACACCUAGCCAGUGCAAUUCAAUCAGACUGUGGCCAACAGGCAAGGAAGUUAGGUCUCCUAUGUACACUUGCAUAUCUAAGGAACAAAGAAUAUGGGAAGAGGGAGCAACAAGAAAGGCGGCUGGGCCCCCAAUCCUAAGAAACAGGCAAUAGCAGACACAGUACCAAUAGACAUAAAGUGCUAUCUCCAGAGCCUCAUAGAUGAGUUCAGGAAUGAAGUUAUUAAUGACCUGAAGCUAGACAUAAGCAGAAUAGUUAGAGAAAUGCUAAGCACCACCCAAGAAAAAACAGAUGGUGCAAUGGAAGAACAGAAAAAGAGGGGAGAAUUGUUUAAUGGAGAAAAUAGAGAAAGCAUAGAAUACAUGAAGCAGGUUCAAAGAGAUUACCAGGAAACUAAAAACUCUAUUGAAAGCUGGCAUAAGAGCUUGAAAGAAACUAAGAGUAUAUUAUCUGAACUGGAGGACAGAUUUGUAAUGUGGGAGCAUGAAAGGAAAAACUUCUUAAAAAUAACAAAGAAACAAACAGCAAUAAUACAAAGACUAGAAGAUGAUAAGAGGAUCUAUAACUUAAGAAUUAAAAACAUAAAAGAAGAGGUAGGGACACAAACCAAUGAAAUACAAAAGCUACUAGCAGAAAUAAUCCAGGAGAAUUUUCCUAGUUUAGCAAAAUUAGAGAUACUCAGAUGUAUGAAGCAUUCAGGACCCCAGCCACCUACAACCCCAACAGAGCUAUAUCCAGGCAUAUAAUAAUCAAAAUACCAGAAAUCCAAUGUAAGAACAGAAUAUUAAAAGCUGUCAGAGGCAAGAAACAGAUCACUUACAAGGGAACACCCAUCAGAAUUACAGCAGACUUCUCAGCACAAACCAUCAAAUCACAAAGAGUGUGGGGGAAAUAAUUCAAGUUUUGAAAGAUAAUAACCUCAAGCCAAGAUUGAUAUAUCCUGAACAAGCCCUGGACAUUGAUGGAAAAACAAGGUACUUCCAGGAUAAAGAGGAACUAGGGGAAUAUGCAACCACCAGUUCAACUCUACAGAGAAUACUGCAGGAUAUUCUUAAAAAGAAAAAUAUGAAGAAUCCAGAAAUAGUGGCAGAGCGGCCAAAAUGAAUGGAGCAGAAAACAAAAUGAAGAAGACAAACUGACAACUAAUGACAGAAAAAGAGCUCAACAGAAAAGAGGCGGAGAAGAUUGGAUGAUAGGAACAGCUAUUUUGGGAAAAAAUGACAUCAUAAUAGGUAAUGCUGAUUUAAUAUCAUCUUGUUUUGAAGUCUCAUCAAGCUUUUGUUGUUAUGUCUCCAUUGGUCUUAACAUGUUGUAUCUUAUUGGAUUUUAUUAUAUCUGAUAGUAUAAACAAAAACUUUUAUAGUCAAGGAGAUUAUACAGAAACCAUUGUUCAUUUUCUGUUAGUUGAUUCUAAAUACCCUGUAAUAAUGUCAUUCUCUUGAAUGGUUUUACAUUGUUUUGAUAUAUUUGAUGCUACAGUAUACGAAGUUAUACUCUAAGAUUUCAAGGAAAGAGACAAUAUGGUAACUACUUUUAUGUCGGGAUUAUCUUGUGGUGAAACACUAUUUUGCUUAAAUGGUUAUUUAUUGAUCUGUGCUGUUUUGUUGUUAUGCCCUCUUUUGUCUCAAUCUCCAUUUUAUUAUUUGCUUUGUUAUUUUAUCCCUUUAAUUAAGGGAAAAAUAAAUUAAAAAUAACAAAAUACAUUAUAGUAACCCACUUUGAUUUCCUAUUAACUUGAUUUGAAGCCCUGUAUUGCUCUCACUAUCUUGUUUUGACUGAUGUUCCUCUAUUCUGUUUUGCUUGAUAGUACCAGGUUUGAAAGUUUAGGCAACAGCUGUGAAGAUAGUGGGAUUCAUUAUGACGCCAAUUCUGGUUGACUAUUAUCUAAUUUUGAAGACCUGUAAUGUCUCCAAUGUUUUGGUUUUGUUCUUUACUGCUUUGUUCAAUUUUAUUAUAACUGAUGAUAUAGGCAAUUCUAUUAGAGAUAGCAGGAGGCAUUAUGGUAACCAUUGUUGAUCACCUUGUAUUAUGUUUUUACAUUAUCUAUUAUGUCCACCCUUUUGAUUUGACCGACUCUGUUCUGUUAUGUCACAUUUGGUUUUACUCUCUUCCAAAAAAAGUAAUAAGAACUGUGGGAGCACUAAAACCCAAAAUGUGUAAUAGUCAUUGUACAAAAGAGAGGAAAAGAAAGUGCUCUAAACGAUAAAACUGCAUGUAUAUUUAAGUGUAUAAA